rnacentral:rRNA from 1 species
GCUUGUCUCAAAGAUUAAGCCAUGCAUGUGUUAGUAUAAACGCCUUUAUACUGUGAAACUGCGAACGGCUCAUUAUAUCAGUUAUAGUUUAUUUGAUACUUUUCGACUAUUGGAUAACCGUAGUAAUUCUAGAGCUAAUACAUGCUAUCAAGCCCGACUUCUUGAAGGGUUGUAUUUAUUAGACUUAAGCCAAUAUUCCUUGUGUCUAUUGCGAUGAUUCAUAAUAACUGAUCGAAUCUCAAAUUUGAGAUAAAUCAUUCAAGUUUCUGCCCUAUCAGCUUUCGAUGGUAGUGUAUUGGACUACCAUGGCAGUAACGGGUAACGAAGAAUUAGGGUUCGAUUUCGGAGAGGGAGCAUGAGAAACGGCUACCACAUCUAAGGAAGGCAGCAGG